GACGAACGCUGGCGGCGUGCUUAACACAUGCAAGUCGAACGGAAAGGCCCUGCUUUUGUGGGGUGCUCGAGUGGCGAACGGGUGAGUAACACGUGAGUAACCUGCCCUUGACUUUGGGAUAACUUCAGGAAACUGGGGCUAAUACCGGAUAGGAGCUCCUGCUGCAUGGUGGGGGUUGGAAAGUUUCGGCGGUUGGGGAUGGACUCGCGGCUUAUCAGCUUGUUGGUGGGGUAGUGGCUUACCAAGGCUUUGACGGGUAGCCGGCCUGAGAGGGUGACCGGCCACAUUGGGACUGAGAUACGGCCCAGACUCCUACGGGAGGCAGCAGUGGGGAAUAUUGCACAAUGGGCGGAGGCCUGAUGCAGCAACGCCGCGUGCGGGAUGACGGCCUUCGGGUGGUAAACCGCUUUCGCCUGUGACGAAGCGUGAGUGACGGUAAUGGGUAAAGAAGCACCGGCUAACUACGU
rnacentral:rRNA from 1 species